GACAACGUGGCCGAGCGGUUAAGGCGACAGACUAGAAAUCUGUUUCCCUCUGGGAGCGCAGGUUCAAAUCCUGCCGUUGUCG